UACGUAGGGGGCAAGCGUUGUCCGGAUUUAUUGGGCGUAAAGAGCUCGUAGGCGGUUUGGUAAGUCUGGUGUGAAAUCUCCACGCUCAACGUGGAGGGGCCACCCGAUACUGCCAUGACUGGAGUCCGGUAGAGGAGUGUGGAAUUCCCGGUGUAGCGGUGAAAUGCGCAGAUAUCGGGAGGAACACCCGUGGCGAAGGCGGCUCUCUGGAACGCAACUGACGCUGAGACGCGAAAGCGUGGGGAGCAAACAGG
rnacentral:rRNA from 1 species